AACGAACGCUGGCGGCAUGCCUAACACAUGCAAGUCGAGCGAGAUAAAUGUGAGUGGAGACUUCGGUCAAAGCAAUCAUUUUGAAAGCGGCGGACGGGUGAGUAACGCGUGAGCAAUCUGCCCCAUACAAAGGGAUACCCACUGGAAACGGUGAUUAAUACCUUAUAAGACCACGAAGUCGCCUGGCUUAGUGGCCAAAGAUUUAUCGGUAUGGGAUGAGCUCGCGUCUGAUUAGCUAGUUGGUGAGGUAAUGGCUCACCAAGGCGACGAUCAGUAGCCGACCUGAGAGGGUGAACGGCCACACUGGAACUGAGACACGGUCCAGACUCCUACGGGAGGCAGCAGUGGGGAAUAUUGCACAAUGGGCGCAAGCCUGAUGCAGCAACGCCGCGUGAAUGAUGAAGGCCUUCGGGUCGUAAAGUUCUGUCCUAAGGGAAGAAUACAGUGACGGUACCUUAGGAGGAAGCCCCGGCUAACUACGUGCCAGCCGCCGCAGUAACAC
rnacentral:rRNA from 1 species